rnacentral:lncRNA from 1 species
GAUCUGGAAUUAUGUCUGAGAAAGAUGAAGGUAUCAGGAUCCAUCCACUAUUUUCUAAGAAGAAACAACAGUAAAAAGCCAGGAA